AUCCGAUGAUGAGGACAACUAGAACACAAUCUCUUAAAUCGCCCCCAAUAGUCAUAUAAGCUAUCAUCAUGUUGCUGCUUAAUUACAAAGAUGUCAUUUCUGAUUGU